rnacentral:lncRNA from 1 species
GGUGUUGCACGGACCUUUCUCUAACGCCGUGACCUGAGCGGUCUAUUAUCAUGCCCUUUUUACACAUAAGGGAACGGAGCCUAUUAAUCUGGGUUCCGGUUGCUUGGGUAACGAAAGUCAGAGCUGCAAUUCAACACCUCCAUCUAUGAAACACCAGAGCCCAGCCUCCUUCUACUCCAUCACACGCCGCCCCUUGAAGAGGAGGUAAUUUCCUUCAUCUGCAGGGAAAGUGGAACGAUGGUGUGCCACCUAUGCAAGUGCUCUUCCGUGGGGCUGCUACCGCAGCCCCCACAGUGGACAAAAAUGUUCUGCCCUGUGGGCUAAACGCGAAUUCCUCUGAAGGGUCAGUAGCUCUAAGUUACGUGGCACUGAGAUUUCCACUUGCUUGUUUUAUUGUCUGUCCUUAGGCUCCGCAGAACAGAACGAAACAAAACAAGAUAGAAAAAUAUUCCCCGCUGACUUACCUUAGCAGAUGCUUGCUUGUGUCCUGUGACAGGACAGUGAGAUGGGCAAAGGAGACAGUAACAGAACACUCGCUAGGGUUAUCAUCUCUAACGGGCAGUGACAAAAAGCAGUUGCAGAGCUGGUCUCCAGCAACAGGCAGUGUCGGUUUUUAAUUGCGAGGCACUUUCUGGAAUUUGAUUUUCAGCGUCCUGUGGAUAUAAAGUGAAAACAGCUUUCUGGCAUCAUGACUGGGGUGAAGAUCACGAACUGCGUGCAUGUUGGUUUAAGGAACACCCCAGAAAGGGUUGCUUGCUGAAUCUCCCUGACACACAUUGCAUCAUCAUCAAUAAUGACAUCAAAUUAUAAAUCACCCGAGAACUGACAAGGAGUUAGCACACAUCAAACACGAGCAGGAAAAGAAAAUCAGUAUCCCUCUUCUAAGACCAAUUCAAAAAUCCUUGCCUACACCUGCUACACACCAGCAAGGAGCCAGGGCUUGCAGAACUCAAGACUCAGGAUCAGCCAUCAGGAUGGGGAGGCAGAAGCUGGGUGUCAUGGAGGCCACCUGCAGAAGGUGGAGAAUGCCUUAGAUGAGCAAAGGACAAAGCGGCAAAACCAUGUAACAAGGAGACCAUAGAAAAAUGAUUAUUUAAGACACUGCUUUUCAAGUGGUAAAUUUCAACCCGGUUAGCAAGUUAUAAAAUCAAUUUAGUCGAUUUUGCAAAAUUAAACAGAACAGAAUAGAAAAAUAUCAGAGUGCAUUGCAUGGAGUCAGGGCCAGCAUCGUUUCAUGACAAAUGUUAUGUGAUUUUAUAGAGGAAGAUGCUUGUGUGUUUUGGGUCAUGUUGGGAAAUGUGUUGGUCCCCAAAAGGUUUUGUAAAACCUUGAUUUAAAGGAAGUUGUCGUGAACCCAGCCGAAAACCCUAGAGCCUAUUAAUCAAAUCCAUCCUAGAGCCAGAGCCCAUUCUCCUUGACACAGAGGUCACCUGAUGUGUGGCCAGGAUCCAGGGCUGUCUUUGUUCUGUAGAGGAGCCCCACAGCUGGGGUUGGGGAGGGUCCCAGCUUGGAACUGAGUGAGCCUCCAGCCUUCAUGCUCAGCUUAAACCCCCAUCCCUGCGAAUGCUCUGAGCUUUUUUUUUUUUCUUUUUCUUUUGUAUUUCCUUUUUUUUUUUUUUUUUCUUUUUUUUUUUUUUUGUCUUUUUUUCUUUUGAGCUGCACCCCUGGCAUAUGGAGGUACCCAGGCUAGGAAGUCUAAUUGGAGCUGUAGCCACUGGCCUACACCAUAGCCACAGCAGCAUGGGAUCUGAGCCGCAUCUGCAACCUACACCACAGCUCAUGGCAACACUGGAUCCUUAACCCACUGAUCGAGACCAGGGAUCGAACCCACGUGCUCGUGGAGGCUAGUUAGAUUCGUUUCCGCUGAGCCACUACGGGAAUUCCGACUAUGAGCUUUUCGAAGGCAAAUACGCCUCAGUGCAUCUGGUGUAUUGUCUGAUGUUCCUUUUAUCCCCGCUACAUGACUACCCACAUUUCAUGUCACUAAGCAGCCAUUUUAUUAUGUUCCAACUCUUUGGGUCAGGAGGGGGGACGCCUCACCUCUUGGCCAUGACACUUGAGCUCAGGGAUGGACAGCUUGAGGACAGCAUCUUUACUCGCAUGUCUGGUGCCUGGGCUGAGGGUCACGAAGGCUGGGACUGCUGACCCGGGGUGGGACCUCUCCCACGUGGUGGCUGGGUUCCAGGUGGGAGCACUGGAGAGUGAGGUUCCAAACCACCUCUAUAGAAGCUACAUGCCUCUUACAAGCCAGUCCCAGAAGAUCACAGGUGGACCCUCCACCAUUCUCUCUCUGCCAGAGCAGCCCCACGCUCAUCCAGACUUGAAGACAGACCACACCUCUCCCUGUUUGAUCUUCUCAGUUUUCUUAGCUUCCACCUAGGGUAUGAAAGCCUCCUUGUGGGGACAACUGAUUGCCCUUGACUUGGGAGAGUGAGCAGCUCAAAUUCCUUGGGAUGCACUGAGUGCUUUGCGGUAAUCAUCUACUAUUCCUUAUGAUGAUCUGAAGUCUCUAUAACACUUAGUGGGCUGGAACCACACAUAUAUUUACCGCCUUCAUUUGGUUGCUAGCAUUAGGCUUAUUUUCCAGUAUUUUUCUCUCCAAUUGGACUGUCUUUUAUCUAAGCUUAUCUUCAGUGUCAAGAAGUACAGCACUUCUCAACAGCCGCCCGCCCUCCGCCCCAUAAGAGACACCUCCCCUCUAUUCAUCUUCUGCAAAUUGAUCCUUAUGGUUAAGGCCCCCAGAAUCCAUUCAUCACCGAGAUCUGUUCUUUCCCAUUUAUAUGGUCUUCCAUUUAGCUACACCAAGCUCUUUACCAUGACUAAAGCUCUUCGUCAUUUUAAUAGCUCUUUCUUAGAGCCAGCCCAGAGUGUCAGACUGUAAAUGUAUUCCCUAGAAGACCCGCAAGGUCCCAAUAGCCCCAAAGCACCCCCAUUCUCUCUGAAGACCCACAGUUGGGCAGCUCCCCCCGAGUAGAACUGGACACUGGUUUUCACUUAUCCAUCUCCUUCUGCAGAAGCCUCAGUCUUGAUUUUGGUCACCUAUGUCAUUCCUAGUGAUCCUAGCAAAGUACCUCAAACCAUCUAAUCUAAUUGGUCUUGUGAGAUAGGAAAGGAAAGCAGAGAGUUGUGAGCGAGGGGAGAGGAGUAGGAGAGAAAGGGGAUGGUACAGGGAGAGGAGGGAGGGGGAUGCUCUUUAGAGAAGGGUCACGGGAGCCCAGCACCACGCAGGGAAGGUGACUCUGCUUCCCAUCUCAGGGAGGAGUAUGCAGAGCACCCCAGAGGCGGAAUCAUGAUGGGGGAGGUGGGGUCGGGAUGGGGGAGGUGGAGUCAGGGAGAGUGGGGACUGCGCCUGCCCAGGGGUACUUCUGGGCCCCCUCCAGCCCUGCCCUGCCUCGGUGCCACUUGGGGGUACUGGCAUGUUCUCUGUGGGUACGUCGUAGGAAGUACUCCUUUUUCCAGUGCCAGGUGGGCGAUGGACGGGAUGCUUGGGGACUCUGACUGUGGUUACUGCCCCAGCUCCCUGCACAUUCAUAGGCUAAAUGGGCCACAGCUCUAGUCACUAAUGCAGGCCCAUGCCCGGGGGCUCAGACUGGGGUCACUGCCCUCUGCCAAAGGCUGUCAGGGCCCACCUCAGAGAGGAGGUAAAGUGUGCUGAUAGAGGAGAGGUAUGUCAUGGCCCAUUCACUGCAGCCAGUUUGGCUGGAGUGGGUGGUAAAGAAUGAACGUGUCCUUUCAGCAUCUCAAAGAUCACUUCCUGGAGCCGUGUUAGUGUGGGCACCCACCUAAGCACCUGUGUGGAGGGCUCAGAAACUCCACUGCAGCCAGCCGGCAAGCAUCUGCACCCUGCCCUCGGCCUCUAUCAGAGAGGUGCACUCCUGCCGCAGAAGCAGUCAUGGGCCCUUUCUCUCGGCUUUAAACGUUUGGAGCCGUGGUCCUUCUGGGUUUGAACCAGGGGUGGUUCUCCCACUCAGAGGGUACAGACCAUGAGGAUGUUCCAGGCGCCUCGCCAUCCUUCCUGUGCCAGGCACUGUCCAUGCAUACUUGUACCCUGGCAGCCCAAGUGGACGCAUCGGAUGACAACCUGGUCUUUUCCUGACACAGGGAUGUCAGGUGGCCCGAGGUCAGAGGGCGAGCAAGACUCAGAGGAUUCUAAGCCAGGCAGUCUGAGCCAGAGCCCACUUCCUGUUUUGCCACCUCUCCACACACUCCCUAAGCCAAGUACCAAAGGGCAGGCCGUGGCUCCACCUCCACCGUGGGGAACUUUAGAGAAGCUGUGUGUCCAGAUGCCCUUGGCACAGCUCGGGUCUCUUCUUCCCAGAAAGCUGAGUAUCCAUUUCCAUCCCAGACUUGCAGGAGACUUAAAUACUGAGACUUCUCCCCGGGGACAAAGUUCCCACAUCUAGCCUGACUCUUCUGAGGUCCUGGGGCCUCAGAACUGCCUGCAAACAAGAGGAGGACUCAGCUCCCCCAGAAUCCUCAGUCCCCAUUCUGGGGGACUCCAGGUGGCUGCCAGGGAUGCCUCAGCUCAGCUCUGUGCUUGGCAACCUGCCCCUGGGUCCAGGCAGACUGAGAAUGGGAUUGAAACGCCUGGAAUUUAAAUCAAAACUCUGCGUGUACAUUUUUUUUCCAGUAGGAUGGUCUUUGAUCAAAAUUUUCAAGGCGUUUGGCCCAGAAAGGAGUGCCUGGACCUUAGGGACAGGGUUGGGGAUAGGAGGGAACAGUGAUCUUUAAUGCUUGCUCCAUCAGCUGCACAGGCCAGUACCAACCAGCUCUCCUCCUGUCUAUCGCCGGAGUUAGCAGAAGCUUCUACAGCCAAGGCUCAGCCACACAGUAAAGCACUACACACAGACCUGGCAAGUCACAGCCAUCAGCAGCUAAUACAUCAUAGUUGGGGGAUAUUAAGAAAUUAUUCUUAGUUUUGUAACAUAGGAUCAUGACACUGUGGUCAUGUUUGUAAAAGUCCUUAGCCUGGAGUUCCUGUCAUGGCAUAGCAGAAACGAAUCCUAUAAGGAACCAUGAGGUGGCAGGUUCGAUCCCUGGCCUCGAUCAGUGGGUUAAGGAUCCAGUGUUGCAGUGAGCUGUGGUGUAGGUCGCAGACUCGGCUCAGAUCUGGCAUUGCUGUGGCUGGCGGGUAGGCCGGCAGCGACAGCUCUGAUUAGACCCCUUGCCAGAGAACCUCCAUGUGCCAAGGAUGCGGCCCUAAAAAGACAAAAAAAA